CUGGGUGAUGUUAAUUAUAUUACUAUGCAUAACAAUCUUGGGGGUUAGAGGUGAAGACCCUUACUUGUUUUUCGUAUGGAACAUCACAUAUGGAACUCUGUCUCCUUUGGGAGUUCCCCAGCAAGUGAUUCUCAUCAACGAUAAGUUUCCAGGACCCGAAAUCAACUCUACAAGCAACAACAAUCUUGUGAUUAAUGUCUUCAAUAACCUUGACGAGCCUUUCCUUUUGACAUGGUAUACUAGUUUAUUCUUUAUUCUGUUUUUUCACCAUAUAGAAAUUGGGAUCUCUAUAUCUUGAUUGGAUUUGCUACAGGAGCGGCGUCCAACAGAGGAAGAACUCUUGGCAGGAGGGUAUGCUUGGAACCAACUGCCCCAUCCCUCCUGGAACCAACCACACUUAUCAUUUCCAAGUUAAGGAUCAGAUUGGGAGCUUCCUUUACUACCCAAGCACAGCCUUGCACAAGGCAAGUGGUGCAUUUGGUGGCCUUCAUAUCAACAGCCGUUUGCUUAUCCCUGUCCCUUAUCCCGAUCCUGAGGAUGACUACACUGUCAUUGUUAAUGACUGGUACACCAAGAGCCACAAAGCUCUCAGGGAUCUGUUGGAUAGCGGACGCACCAUUGGCCGACCGGACGGAGUCCUCAUUAAUGGCAAAAACGCUAAGGGUGAUGGCAAGGACGAGCCUCUCUUCACCAUGAAACCUGAAAAGACCUACAAGUACAGGAUUUGCAAUGCUGGGCUCAAGACAUCCAUCAACUUCCGGAUACAAGGCCACCCAAUGAAGCUUAUUGAGAUGGAGGGCUCCCAUGUGAUGCAGAACGUCUACGAGUCCCUUGAUGUGCAUGUUGGCCAAUGCCUUAGUGUGCUUGUGACCGCCAAUCAGGUUCCUAAGGACUACUAUAUGGUGGCUUCUACCCGAUUCUUGAAGACCGUCGUCACUGGUAAGGGCAUCAUUCGAUACACCAAUGGCAAGGGACCAGCAUCACUUGAGCUCCCAGAGGCACCUGUGGGAUGGGCUUGGUCUCUCAAUCAAUUUCG
rnacentral:misc_RNA from 1 species